rnacentral:lncRNA from 1 species
AGAGCCCGGCAGGGCCAGGGCCAUCACGACGUACCCGACGGCCAUCAGGAUCUGCGAGGCUGCGUUCCAUAACGGCCGCGGAAUUGCGUUCUUCCUGAGAAGAGGUGGAAAAGGUGAGAGAGGUUAGGAGGAAAAAAUUCUUGACCAACUACAAUGCAAUCAAGAGAUAAGCUGCAGUUUUUCUUAAAACCUUCUCAAAAGACAAAAAAAAAAAAAAAAAAGGAAUCAUAAAAUUGAAACUAGUAUUCUCAAUAUUUGUAGAAAUAAGGAAUACGCACUUGAGGAAGUACUCGGAGAGGGUUCCCGAGCCGAUGCGGCCGAAGAAGCCCCAGAUGCUUAUCAAAGAUAUGAAGAC